rnacentral:rRNA from 1 species
GGGUAAUGCGGAGCCUAACACAUGCAAGUCGGACGGUAGCACAGAGAGCUUGCUCUUGGGUGACGAGUGGCGGACGGGUGAGUAAUGUCUGGGGAUCUGCCCGAUAGAGGGGGAUAACCACUGGAAACGGUGGCUAAUACCGCAUAACGUCGCAAGACCAAAGAGGGGGACCUUCGGGCCUCUCACUAUCGGAUGAACCCAGAUGGGAUUAGCUAGUAGGCGGGGUAAUGGCCCACCUAGGCGACGAUCCCUAGCUGGUCUGAGAGGAUGACCAGCCACACUGGAACUGAGACACGGUCCAGACUCCUACGGGAGGCAGCAGUGGGGAAUAUUGCACAAUGGGCGCAAGCCUGAUGCAGCCAUGCCGCGUGUAUGAAAAAGGCCUUCGGGUUGUAAAGUACUUUCAGCGGGGAGGAAGGCGA